UACGUAGGGGGCUAGCGUUGUCCGGAUUUAUUGGGCGUAAAGCGCGUGUAGGCGGCCAGAUAGGUCUGCUGUGAAAACUCGAGGCUCAACCUCGAGCUGUCGGCGGAAACCAUCCGGCUAGAGUCCGGAAGAGGAGAGUGGAAUUCCCGGUGUAGCGGUGAAAUGCGCAGAUAUCAGGAAGAACACCCGUGGCGAAAGCGGCUCUCUGGAACGGUACUGACGCUGAGACGCGAAAGCGUGGGGAGCGAACAGG
rnacentral:rRNA from 1 species